CCUACGGGUGGCAGCAGUAGGGAAUAUUGCUCAAUGGGGGAAACCCUGAAGCAGCAACGCCGCGUGGAGGAUGAAGGUUUUCGGAUUGUAAACUCCUGUUGUUAGAGAAGAUAAUGACGGUAUCUAACGAAUAAGCACCGGCUAACUCCGUGCCAGCAGCCGCGGGAAUACGGAGGGUGCAAGCGUUACUCGGAAUCACUGGGCGGAAAGAGCGCGUAGGCGGGAUCGCAAGUCAGAUGUGAAAUCCUAUGGCUUAACCAUAGAACUUCAUUUGAAACUGUUAUUCUAGAGUAUGGGAGAGGUAGGUGGAAUUCUUGGUGUAGGGGUAAAAUCCGUAGAGAUCAAGAGGAAUACUCAUUGCGAAGGCGACCUGCUAGAACAUAACUGACGCUGAUGCGCGAAAGCGUGGGGAGCAAACAGGAUUAGAUACCCCUGUAGUC
rnacentral:rRNA from 1 species